rnacentral:rRNA from 1 species
CUUAACACAUGCAAGUCGAGGGGAAACGACAUCGAAAGCUUGUUUUUGAUGGGCGUCGACCGGCGCACGGGUGAGUAACGCGUAUCCAACCUGCCCAUCACUUGGGGGAUAACCUUGCGAAAGUAAGACUAAUACCCAAUGAUAUCUCUAGAAGACAUCUGAAUGGGAUUAAAGAUUUAUCGGUGAUGGAUGGGGAUGCGUCUGAUUAGCUUGUUGGCGGGGUAACGGCCCACCAAGGCAACGAUCAGUAGGGGUUCUGAGAGGAAGGUCCCCCACAUUGGAACUGAGACACGGUCCAAACUCCUACGGGAGGCAGCAGUGAGGAAUAUUGGUCAAUGGGCGAGAGCCUGAACCAGCCAAGUAGCGUGCAGGAUGACGGCCCUAUGGGUUGUAAACUGCUUUUAUAAGGGAAUAAAGUGGGUCACGUGUGACUUUUUGCAUGUACCUUAUAAAUAAGGACCGGCUAAUUCCGUGCCAGCAGCCGCGGUAAUACGGAAGGUCCGGGCGUUAUCCGGAUUUAUUGGGUUUAAAGGGAGCGUAGGCCGGAGAUUAAGCGUGUUGUGAAAUGUAGAGGCUCAACCUCUGCACUGCAGCGCGAACUGGUCUUCUUGAGUACGCACAACGUGGGCGGAAUUCGUGGUGUAGCGGUGAAAUGCUUAGAUAUCACGAAGAACUCCGAUUGCGAAGGCAGCUCACGGGAGCGCAACUGACGCUGAAGCUCGAAAGUGCGGGUAUCGAACAGGAUUAGAUACCCUGGUAGUCCGCACGGUAAACGAUGGAUGCCCGCUGUUGGCCUGAAUAGGUCAGCGGCCAAGCGAAAGCAUCAAGCAUCCCACCUGGGGAGUACGCCGGCAA